GAAAAGUCAGAGAUUCGAAGCUUGAGAAAGAUUUGUUGCAUGGUUGCUAUUUGAAAUGCCCAUGUGUCAAGAAACUUGGAGAAAUUCAGAGGGCGUUGAGGCACUGAGAGUAGUUUCUGACCAACACCUAGAAGGAAAACUGUGAAUUCAACAACCAGUGAACUUGAUGAAGACCCAACCCCAGCCAACACCUUGACUGCAACCCUGAGCAGAGAAGCCAUCGAAGCCAUAGAAUCCAGACCCCCUGACCUAUCCAUCACCAUGAACAGGUAAGGCAACUGAAGCCCAGGGAUGAUCAACAACUUUCCUAUGAUACCAUGGUGGCAACGGCUGAUGAAGAAAAUGUUUUAGGUGAGAAAUUGGGUUUAAAGAAGCAGAGUAAAGAGAUAAAGGAAAGAGAAAAUGGUAAACAAAACAAAAUAAAAACAAAGAAAGAAAGAAGCAGAGUAAAAUUUCUUAUCUAUGUGUUCUGUUUACAUCUAAACAGAACCUGUAUCUGUUUCCAACCUCUCAGCUUGGAGCAGAACUAUGUGGAAAGCAGUGACCUCACUCCCAAGUAGAAGAGAAACAGAUGGCAAGAUUCCAGUUCACCUGGGAUCUAUAUAGGAGCAAGGUCUACUAAUGAAAAAAAAAAUGGAAUUUCUUUGGAGGAAGAUGACAUUUCACUUAAGGAAGUUCACAGCUGCAGGCAAACUGUUCAACCAUUGCUCCGGAGGGAAACAUUGCCUUUAUUAAACUGAACAGUAAGCAAAUCUGCCUUCUGCUCCAGAGAGAGAAACUCUCUCUAUUUUGCAAGGCUGUUUGCUCUACAUACAUCUUUGAAGAGAUCACCUGGGAUAAUGAAAAGAUCAUCAGUGUCUCUGCAAGACAUGCAGAAAUUGGCUGCACCAACUUGCAUUCCUAGCAACAGUGCACAAAGAUUCCCUUUUCUCCACAUCUUUGCCAACAUUCUACCCUUUCACCAAUAAACUGGAGAAGGAAAAUUCCAUUGGCUGUGCUCAACCAGAAAUCAGAAAGCAAGCGUGCUCAGUGCUUACCCAUCAUAGAAGUCACAGGAGGAGAAGAAAGAGAAGGAAAUUCUAAUUGCUGGCCCGAUUCUAAAGAAAUUGUGUUGCCCCUCAGCUCACAGAUACUAUUAGGAUCAGAGUUCAUCAUGGCUAAUUGGAGGAAAGUAAAUAGGCUAUAACAAUAUGGCAGUCAUUGCGUCCCCAACACGGCCAGCCACCUUGUUUGUGCCACACACGCAUUUCAGGCUCAGGAGUUUGGAAACAGAGACAAAGCUGUAUGCAAACUGAGAGAAGGGGAGGAGGUAGAGAAGUGUUUGGUAGGGACCACUCUCUCUUGAGUGCAAUCUCAUAUUUUAAGGAGGCAAGACCGGGACAAUUAUAAAUUUGAUGAUUGAUUAGCAAAUUGUCAAUAAGGCAGACUCCAUGACUUUUUGUGUAUUGUUUGAUUUGUAUCACAGGUUUGCUUUUCCAGUUAUAGCUUCCAUUUCUUGAGUACUUACUAUGUGCUAGGCAAUAAGUAAUCUGUGUAUGUUCUCCUUAAUCCUCAUAAAGACCAUAUUAAGUAAAAUUAAGACUGUUUCAAAAUAGAAUGCACUUGAC